AGUACCUGAAACCGUUGGUCUACAAACAGUCAAAGCAGACUUGUUCUGCGAUGGCGUGCCUUUUGAAGAAUGAGCCAACGAGUUACGGUGUGUGGCAAGGUUAACCCGAUGAGGGGAAGCCGGAGCGAAAGCGAGUCUGAACAGGGCGUUCAGUCGCAUGCCGUAGACCCGAAGCCGAGUGAGCUAUCCAUGGGCAGUGUGAAGCGGAGGUAAGACUCUGUGGAGGCGCGAACCGACUUCAGUUGAAAAUGGAGCGGAUGACCUGUGGAUAGGGGUGAAAGGCCAAUCAAACUCGGUGAUAGCUGGUUCUCCGCGAAAUGCAUUUAGGUGCAGCGUCGUGCGUUCAACGAUGGGGGUAGAGCACUGAAUGGGCUAGGGGUCCUACAAGACUACCGACCCCAAUCAAACUCCGAAUACCAUCGUUCCAGAGCACGGCAGUGAGACCUCGGGGGAUGAGCUUCGAGGUCGAGAGGAAAACAGCCCAGACCGCCGGCUAAGGUCCCAAAAUCUGAACUAAGUGGUAAACGAUGUGAGAUUGCGAAGACAGCCAGGAGGUUGGCUUGGAAGCAGCCAUCCUUGAAAGAGUGCGUAACAGCUCACUGGUCGAGUGAUCUUGCGCGGACAAUGUAACGGGGCUCAAGUUCAGUACCGAAGCCGCGGAUGCGACUCUUUGAGUCGUGUGGUAGCGGAGCGUCGAGCGUGCAGCGAAGCGGCGGGACAACCCAGCCGUGGGGCGCGUUCGAGUGCGAAUGUUGGCAUGAGUAGCGAAUGAGGGGUGAGAACCCCCUCCGCCGUAUGUCCAAGGGUUCCUGGGCGAGGCCAAUCCUCCCAGGGUGAGUCGGGAGCUAAGGCGAGGCCGAGAGGCGUAGUCGAUGCACAACUGGUUGAUAUUCCAGUACCACCAUGUUCGCGUCCGUCCCAAUACUCUGUUGCUAAGGGGCUGUGUUGACUUCGGUCAACGCGAACCGACCCACAUUGUUGCGGGAAGCUGUAGGGGGACGCAGGAAGGUAGAUGAACCCGGUGAAUGGUAGAACCGGGGUAAGCGUGUAGGAGGAGGACCAGGUAAAUCCGGGCCUCAUAAACUCUGAGACGUGAUACCGAGCCGCUUCAGGCGAAGUCACUGAUCCUAUGCUGCCUAGAAAAGCCCAGCAGCGAGUUGACAUGGUGCCCGUACCCCAAACCAACACAGGUGGACAGGUAGAGCAUACCAAGGCGAGUGGGAUAACUAUGGUUAAGGAACUCGGCAAAUUGCCUCCGUAACUUCGGGAGAAGGAGGACCCCAGUAGCGUGAUGAGACUUGCUCUCUGAGCGUGAAGGGGUGGCACAAAAUUGAGGGAAGCGGCUGUUUACCAAAAACACAGUAGCGUGCUAAGCCGUAAGGCGCUGUAUACGCUGUGACUCCUGCCCGGUGCUGGAAGGUUACGGGGAUGGGUUAGUCCUUCGGGACGAAGCUCUGAACCUAAGCCCCAGUAAACGGCGGCCGUAACUAUAACGGUCCUAAGGUAGCGAAAUUCCUUGUCGGGUAAGUUCCGACCUGCACGAAUGGAGUAACGACUUCCCUACUGUCUCAACCAUAGACCCAGCGAAAUUGAAGUACGAGUAAAGAUGCUCGUUAGCUGCAGAAGGACGGAAUGACCCCGUGGACCUUUACUAUAACUUGAUGUUGUGUUUUGUCAUAUGUUGUU
rnacentral:rRNA from 1 species